GAGGGUAUAGCUCAAGGGUAGAGCACAUGUUUAGCAUGCACGAGGUCCUGGGUUCAAUCCCCAGUGCCUCUU
rnacentral:tRNA from 1 species